rnacentral:rRNA from 1 species
UACGUAGGGGGGCGAGCGUUGUCCGGAAUCAUUGGGCGUAAAGCGCGUGUAGGCGGCCCGGUAAGUCCGCUGUGAAAGUCCAGGCUCAACCCUGGGAUGCCGGUGGAUACUGUCGGGCUCGAGUCCGGAAGAGGCGAGUGGAAUUCCUGGUGUAGCGGUGAAAUGCGCAGAUAUCGGGAGGAACACCAAUGGCGAAGGCAGCUCGCUGGGACGGUACUGACGCUGAGACGCGAAAGCGUGGGGAGCAAACAGG